rnacentral:misc_RNA from 1 species
AUUGGCUUGUGUUGGCUCGUUGGAUCCCUGCUCAGGCAGCGACAAUGUUCCACUCACGCUUCUUCGGUUGUUGGUUCGAGCAUGUCUUGUCCGUUGUUGGUUUCUUGUGCUGAAUACCUACUGGAAAGGUAUUUUUUGGUUGCGAAUAGUAAGAUUUCAUCUUGUGCCGUUCUCCUUGGGGAUGCGGUGUCGGAUGGAACCGAAAGCAUGCUUUGUGUUCCACAUCUCUUGUGCAGCCUUGUGCUCGAGUUGAUGGUCCAUGUUGUGGUGCGCGAUAUCUCGGGUAUGGAAGAUUGUGCGGGCACGAGGCCUUCGGCUAUUGUCUUGUCCAAACUAUAAGCGUUUUACGCUUCGUGGGAAUGACUUCCGUGGGCGUGUUGAUUGAGUCAUUUUGGCUCAACUCAUGCGCCAACGGUGUCUGUCGGGAA